rnacentral:lncRNA from 1 species
GGGUGACAUGGCCCCAAGUUUGCUGUCCAAAGAGCUGGUCUGGCCUCCCCACCUCCCAGUUGCCAGGUACUGAGAGCCAGGUACUGAGAGCUCUUUCUAAAUCCCCCACAGUGCAGAUAAUGGCAGAAUUUAUCACCUCCCCGGCAGGAGGCAGAGGGGCCGGGGGAGCAUGGGGGGAAGGUAGGUCUUUGCUGGAAGGAUUUGGACACAUGAAGAUGAGGGUGUUGCAGGCAGAGGCAAACCUCGGUUGUCUGCCAGGGACCAUGACUCAAUCCCUCAGCAUGGCUGCAUCAUGAGGAACGUGAACACAGGGACCAGGAAGGCAGAUCGCAGAGGCAGGGCUGGGACCCUGAGAGCCCUGACUGACCAUUUAAUGGCCUGGCUUCUUCUUCUUCUUCUUUUUUUUUUUUUUUUUUUUUUUUUUUUUUCGUUUUUUUAGGGCUGCACCCAUGGCAUAUGGAGGUUCCUAGGCUAGGGGUCAAAUCAGACCUGUAGCUGCUGGCCUGGACCACAGCCACAGCAUUGUGGGAUCCAAGCCGUGUCUGCGACCUACACCACACCUCACGGCAAUGCCGAAUCCUUAACCCACUGAGCAAGGCCAGGGAUUGCACCUGCGUCCUCAUGGAUGCUAGUCAGAUUUGUUUCUGCUGAGCUAUGAUAGGAACUCCAGCCUGGCUUCUUAAACCGUGAAGAUUCAAGGUCAUAUUUGCCUUCUAGAACAGUUUCGCCCCUGGAAGCCAAUGUGGGGAAGGGGUUGAAGGGGAGAGCAGAGACUGAAAGGACCCCGCAAUCGUUCUAAAGAAAAAUGAGGAGAUCUGGACCCAGGCAGAUGGCAGGUCCUGGGCUGCAAUGGAUAGGUCCUGGUUGUGGCUUAGAAUCAGGGCUGAGAGGAAAAGGAGGAGUGACAGCUGGUGGGCACGGGGAUCAGCCCUGCGGUGGAGGAGAAGCAGGGUGAGUGGGAGGUGUCAAGGAGUGUAUUUAGGUCCAAGUGGAGUGUGAGGGGCCUGGACGAUUCCGGGUGGAGGCAGAGAAGGGGUUCUCCUUCUCGCCCCCCUUCCCUUGCUCGGCCUUACUGUGGCGGCCCUUUCUCUCUCAGCCUUCUGACAGCCUCCACCCUGGCCUCCCUGCCUCCAGACUUAAGCCUGUGUGUCCAGAUUACCUGCCUGAGCUGGGGCUUUCAUUCCUUCCUCUCUGCUCAGAUCCUUCCUCAGCUCCCCGUUACUGGCAGGAUAAAGCUGGGGCUCUUCCACCCGGCGGGCACAGCUCUUCCUUUACCAGUUGGCUCCUACGUAUAUCCAAGCAAACCGGCCUCCUCAAAAUUCUCCAAACUGGCCUUGAACGUUUUAGCUUGAGCCCUUUGUCCAGGCUGUUCCCUGGCCCAGGCUGCUCUCCCGUCUCCUCUCCCUAAAAUCUCUCCCCACGUUGAAACUCAGUUCCCUGGCCACCCGGCCCUGUGUAUUCACAUUCCCUGCGUUCUUUUGACUGACUUGAGCGGGGCCCCAUGCAAAGGUCAAGGCCUACCUCCCAUCAUACACAAGGGGAAACCGAGACCCAGGGAGAUGAUGAGACUCAAACAGUGACUUGGAGCCAGGGAGUCCAAGGCAGAGCUUCAGCUGGAACUCCCAGGCCAGGUGUCCCAUGCCUCCUGCGCUGGUGACUGUCCUUGAGGUUCAGCUGCUGGGAUGCCUCUGCUGGGCCAGGCUGGGGUGGUCUCCUCCGAAGCCAGGGAGUGAGCCUAGGACAGCCCGGCCCAUGGGGGCUCCGCCCUGAACCUGGGGAAGGGCCUUGAGCAAUAGCUCAGGGGACAGGUGCCAGGCCGGAGUUUGGGAGGGUUGGAGGCGAGAGGACGGGGCUCCAACCCUGUUGUUGCCCCAGCUUCUCCCCUCCCCUCCCCCUUCCUCCUUCCUUCCUCCCUUCUUUCUGCUUUCUUUCCUUCCCCACUUCCUUCCCAAAUAUUUCUCAAGCACCCGGCAUGCACCAGGCAAGUUGCCAAGUCCUGGAGAGAUGGUCCUUGUCCUCCCUGAGCUCACAGCCGAGAAGGGAGCAAGUCGUUAAUCCCAAAUAACCACACACAGAAACGGACUUCAGGUGCCGGUGGUGCCUUGAGAACGUGGCGGGGAGGGCAGAUCAGAGAUCGCCUGGAGGAGGGGACACUUCUGCUGAAAUCUGAAGGAACAGGAGAGGGAAAGGUGUUCCAGGCCGAGGGAAUGGCCCAUGCAAAGCCGACCUGGCCACGAGGUAGUGGAGGUCCCUGUUUUGUCUCUGGGCCUCAUUCCCUGUCUGUCCCAGCAGCACCAGCCGUGGGAGCAGCUGAGGCAGCUGCAGUCCUUAGAGAAGACAGAGAGGCUGGGGCUGCCCUGCAGCUGCCCCGCUUUGGUUUGUAAAUGGGUUUGACUCGAAAUGCAAACAGCCCUGGAAAGCAGGGGAAUCUCGCUUCCUCCUCCCAGGCCCAGGUGGGCAGGUGUCCCAGGUUCCCUAGGACGCUGUUGCAGAGCAUGGAUUUCAAGCCCACUGUCCUAGCUCCGCUCCAUCCUCUUAGACAGACCCCUUGAGGGCAGGCAGGAAAGACUGGCCACCCGCUACAGUGGGGGAGACCCUCCUGCUGGCUACCUCUCCCUAACCCCAAGUUCUUCUAAUUUGGUCUUUGGGUGGGGACCCCUGUGCAAGUUCCAGAUGCACCUCCCCAGUCCUCCUGGGCCCAAGGCCCCACCUGGCCUGGAGCCACCCUUCCCCCAGGGCCUCCAGCCUCUCUGUGUGCUCUAAGCUGGGGACCCUCACCCUCUCAUCUCCUCCCAGCCCUGCCCCUCAGGGGUGACCAUCUUCCUCAGCCCACACUCAUCCUCGCCACUUCCUGCCUCCUAUGGUUGCCCCACUGGGGCCAUGUCUAGUUCCCUGUACACAGUAGGAAGUUUCUUCGCUCUGUUUUCUCUGCCGGGAACACCCUUCCAGGGCUCAUUCCUAUUAGUCUUUAAGGCCCACAGGCUAUGGCCCAUCUUUGAGGCCAGUAAGGCUGCGCAGCCCACAGGUCCCCAUCAAGCUCCCAGCACACUGGUUGGACUGUCUGCCCGCACCCCUCUGUGGUCACCCUAGAACUCACCUUGCUUCCCAGGAGGUGUCAGGGAGAGUGUCGGAACGACUGCGUCAAGGCAGGAGUGCGCCUGGCCGCUAGGACCUGGGGAAGCAGAGGUUUGUCAGCAGUGGGAUCACAGGCACCCAGGCGCCUGCGGCCCUGGACGCCUAGACUUUUGGCCUGAGGAUGCUGGCCUCCUUCCCCUGCAUCCAUCUCUGUGGGACUGACCUGCGCAGCUGGGGGGCAGGGCCCUGGACCAGGCUGCUCGCGCCUCGGCUCCUUGAGGCAACUUCCUGUCCUUGCCCCCUUACCUCCGCGGCCAGGCUGAGGAGAGGAGGCUGUCCUCUCCCUCCCAGUGGCGGACACAGGCACCCCCGGACCUCAGGAAGAGGGGGAGCUUGUCCCAUGAGGGCGUGCCUGCUCCUUCCAGGCCUGCCUCCCCUCGUGGCUGCCGCUAGAUUCCCCUUCCUAGGCGUGCGGCUCCUCUCCUGCUCAAGCACAUUCCAUGGCUCCCCAGGGUCUCUCUAAUUAACAUCGUCUCCUCGGUUUGCCAGCCUUAUUUGGUGCCCCUCAGCACCGUGGACUUGACUUUACCUGUCUUCUCCCCCCUGCCUUUGUCCACGCUGUUAUCUAGGGUGGGAAACUUGUUCUUCUCAUCUUUCCCUGGCUAAACCCUCCUCACUCUUUAAAGCCACGCUCAAGUGCUGCCUUCUCCAAGAAGCCCUCUCUGACCCCUCAGAAGCUGGUGACCUUGUGUCUCCAGAGUGGCCUAGCAUUUUUGUGCUCCUCCCUAUUUGCCUGAAUCUCCAUGUGCAGCACCCAAGCUGUGCGUCCCUCCAGGACGGGAGCUGCAGAUGAAUGGUCUCUACAGGGUGGCCCAGUGCAUGAAGGUCAUUAUAAAAUUUGCUUCUAGAAUGAGAAUCUCCUGAGGCUGAGACGGUGUCUGUAGCACUCAUGGCAUUUCAGAGCCUGGCACCUGGUCUGGCACUUACUAGACUCUCAAAGGUAUGGGUUAAAUGAACAAGUUUUUAGCUGGCCAAUGCAAUAAGAGAAGAAGAGGAAAUGAGGUACAAAUACUGGAGAGUGAAAAAUUCAAUGAAUAGAAUCACGUUAUUGUGAGCUGUGGCAUUCUCACUAUGGAAUAUGUCAGAGUCAGCAUUCAUUGUGUGGACUGGGGUUAAGGCCCAAAGAGAGCCUGGAAUUUACUGGAGAUCACACAGCCAAUUGAGUUUCCUUCUAGCUCUAUGGUUUUUUUCUUUCUUUUUUUUUUUUUUCCUGCUAUAAUGUCUGGCAUAACCACAGAGUGUCGUGGAUAUUCUUGGGCUGUGCUGAUCAUCACCUUGGCCAGUGAGGUAAACUCUUCCCUGGCAGGGAGGCCACUCUGUUCCAGGUUCAAGGCCACACCUGACCAGUCGGCCUGUAUGGCAUCAGCUAAUAGUGGGUUGUAAAAAGAUAAAACACAAAACCCUUAUUUGCCUUGUAAAUGGUUACACCCAACCAGGUUUGAAAGACUGAGGCACAGCUUGAAAAGGAAUUUGAGACCUGGGACUUGCUCCUUGGUUUGGAGAAAGGCCUUUGGCCUGGGGGUACCUGAGGGCAAGGCUUGUCUUGGUCAGUCCCUCGGCCUGGAGAACAUCCCUGCCCCUGUGUGCAGAGAGCAGGGGCAGCUGGUUCAGCCUUGUCCUGUAGGUAACCCUGGGCCUGGGGCUGGAUUAGUGGGGCUGGUUAAGUCCUCAAGUGAGGCUGGGUACUUUCAGGCAUGACCCUGGCCUUCAGAGUCUGAGAAAGCCUCCUCCCCUCUGGGCUCAGGGUCUCUGUGCAGUGGGGUGGGACACAACAGUGUCUGGAGGUCACAGGAUUCCUGGUAGGGACUUGCUCACACAGCCCACCCAGAAGCAAAAUUAGAACAAAGUGGCAGGAGACCCGGGCCUGCCCCAGGCUCCUAGGCUGGGGGCAGAGCAAAGAUUCAGCUCUCUAUUUGUGGGCCUCUCAUUGUUGUUACAGUUUCCACGCCACUCCUGGCCUGUUCUUUUACCCUCUCAGGGCCCAGCUGUCCUGACUUUCCCUCCUCAGUGCCCUUUGGGGCCUCUCAUCCGUGGUGCCAGGUCUCCGCCCUGGUGUUCCCUGCGUGGCAGCCAGCCCAGCUCCCUGGGGAUAUCCUGUCAUUGUGGCCCAGAGCCUAGGUACUGCCUCUUGCCAGGGCAGCUCCAGUGCUCUGGGUCCCUUCCAGGUUCCCAGGUGGAGUCCAGGAGCCCGGAGAGGUUAGGGAAGUUGGCAAAGGCACCCAGAUCCCCAGCGUGGCAGACCAGGCACAGUGCCCAGGACAUCUGACGCCUGGGCUGUGGCCAGUCUCUGGACAGGUGCACGGCAGGGCUCCCUGCCCCACUGCCGGCUCUGUAGGUGACCUUGGCACGUCCUCUCCUUCUCUGGGCUCCUCCCUGAGGCCAUGACUUACGGCAGACCCAGCCUAGGCCUAGCUGACCAAGGGAAUCUGUGUGAUGGGUGAGUGUGCUCACUCCCAGAAUGGCUGGGUGUACUGGGGACACUCAUCAGGCUUGGGCUGGGCUGGCCCUCUGUACUGGGGGGGUGGGGCUAGGAGGGGGUCUUUCGAUGGCCUCCAGCCUCCAGCCCCAACAACCGCACUCCAUGAAAAUGCCCAAAUUUGCAAGUUGGGUCCAUUUGCCUUUAAUUCCCUGCGGUCACACCCCCCUCAUUUGUGUACCCAAAUCAGAACAGGCCCUCUCGGGGUGGGUCAUCCACAAAGCCAGCUGCUGGGGAGGAGGGAAGGGUGGGACUGGGUGUGGGGUCUGCUUUAGGCCCCCCACAGCACUUUCUGCUCUGAGGAUAUAAAGUAACAACAGCCAGCUCCGGGCUGAUUUAGUCUUUACCAGCAGCCUUUAGAGCAGGUGUACAUGGCUACCAGAUAGAGCUGCACAAUAAUGUAAGGACCACACAGUUGGUCCAUGGGAGAACAGAGCUUUGAACCCAGGCCAUCUGGCCCCAGAGCCCAGGCUCGUAACUCCUGUGCUGCACUGCUUGUGCUGGGUCCCUAGGUACUGCAGGGCUAAUUUCCUGACCUGCCUCUGACUCAAGGCCCCUGCUCAUGACCACUGGGUUAUACAGCCUGGGAAAAGCUCUGAGGAGGGGCCGGGGUCCCCAGCCUGCCAUCCGCAUCCUCUUCGAGGUCCCCGAGAUGGCUGUCACCCUGGACUGGGACAAGAACCUCACCUGAGAAGCCCAGAGGCUUGAGAUGUUUGUCCUAGCCCCACCAUGUGACCUUAGACAAGCGGCUUUACCUCUCUGAGUGCCGGUUUUCUCAGCUGUAAGAUGGGCAGCUUAGUCGUUCUGAGCGCUAAGUGAGCUAGUGAACCUACAGAGACCAGCUUGGGCUUCCUGGGUGGCAGAUGCUCAGGGCACCUUGCAUCCACUUCCAAGGACCCAGCCUGGUUCUGCCCUCUGUUCCCCAGGACACUCCCCCCACCGACAAACUGUCUGUGACCUGACCAGGAAGUGGACCAAGGGGCAAUACCCACCCAGAUCCUGGAGGCAAGAAGCCAGCAGUUGGGAACAAAGAAUUUUCCAUGGCUCUGCAGUUAAGGAGGAACUGGACACUCUUUGGGGCCUCAAUUCGUCUUUCAUCCUCCUCGCCUUCCCUCAGAUUUCCAUCACUGGUGGGACUGGAGAGGCCAGGGACGGUCCCGAGGAGAAGGAGCCAGCGCUUCCGCUGGGAAAGGAGUCCGAGUGUUGAAGGAACAGGGAAUGUUGUCAGCAAGAAGACAAAGGAGGGCCGAUGAAAACAAUACACAUUUGUGCGAU